GCAUGUUUAGCUCAGUCGGUAGAGUGUAAGGCUUUUAACCUUGAGGGGUUGUGGGUUCAAGCCCCAUGGUAUACG
rnacentral:tRNA from 1 species